AUGGACAAGGCCGCAGGAAAGCUUGUGCCUUGGCAAGGCCGAUUUAUUACGGCUAUUGGGCGCACGGAGCUGGUUAAAUCUGUCCUCGUGUCCCAGGCAACCUUUCAUGCUACUGUAAUUAAGCUAUCGGAGAGCACAAUCGGCGCCCUCAAGAAGAUUCAGAGGGCUUUUCUAUGGGCGAGAUUUGAUAAAGUCUUCGGUGGGCAAUGCAAGGUCAGUUGGAGGCUGGUAUGCAGACCAAAGGGGCUUGGUGGCCUGGGUGUCCUUGACCUGAAUAUGUUUGCUCGUGCUCUCCGAUUGAGGUGGCUCUGGUACGAGUGGAAAGAGCCAGAUAGGGCCUGGGUGGGCAUGGGAAACCCAUGCGACUCGACGGACAGAGAGCUUUUUUAUGCUGCCUCAACUAUCACUAUGGGGGAUGGCCGGAAGGCGAAGUUUUGGCACUCCCCUUGGCUGGAGGGAAGGAAGAAGCCCAAAGAUAUAGCUCCAUCCAUUUUUUGCGAUCUCUGCAAACAAGAACAAGUCGGUUAG
rnacentral:rRNA from 1 species